rnacentral:lncRNA from 1 species
UGGCUUUGUUGACCGGGAGAAACGAGAUGGGGGUGAAGCUGGAGAUAUUUCGGUGAUAAUCUACCUCACUUUCCCUGUGGCUAUGUUCUGGGUUUCCAAUCAGGCCGAGUGGUUUGAGGACGAUGUCAUACAGCGCAAGGGGAGCUGUGGCCACCUGAGAAGUUCAAGAGAUAGAGGAAUUCAAAGAGAGGUUACGGAAGCGGCGGGAGGAGAAGCUCCUUCGCGACGCCCAGCAGAACUCCUGAGGCCUCCAAGUGGGAGUCCUAGCCCCUCCCCUG